rnacentral:rRNA from 1 species
CGGGGAGAUAGUGACAAUAAAUAACAAUAUAGGGCUCUUAUGGGUCUUAUAAUUGGAAUGAGUACAAUUUAAAUCCCUUAACGAGGAUCAAUUGGAGGGCAAGUCUGGUGCCAGCAGCCGCGGUAAUUCCAGCUCCAAUAGCGUAUAUUAAAGUUGUUGCCGUUAAAAAGCUCGUAGUCGAACUUCGGCCUUUGCCGCCCGGUCCGCCUAUUUGGGUGUGUACUGGAGCGGNGGAGGCUUACCUCGUGGUGAGCAAUCAUCCCCUUUACUGGGAGUGGUUGGGAACCAUGAUUUUUACUUUGAAAAAAUUAGAGUGUUCAAAGCAGGCUUAUGCCCGAAUACAUUAGCAUGGAAUAAUAAAAUAGGACGUGCGGUUCUAUUUUGUUGGUUUCUAGGAUCGCCGUAAUGAUUAAUAGGGAUAGUUGGGGGCAUUCGUAUUCAAUUGCUAGAGGUGAAAUUCUUGGAUUUAUUGAAGACGAACUACUGCGAAAGCAUUUGCCAAGGAUGUUUUCAUUGAUCAAGAACGAAGGUUAGGGGAUCGAAAACGAUCAGAUACCGUUGUAGUCUUAACAGUAAACGAUGCCGACUAGGGAUCGGACGAGGAUUUUUAAUGACUCGUUCGGCACCUGAAGAGAAAUCUUUAAGUCUAGGUUCGGGGGGGAGUAUGGUCGCAAGGCUGAAACUUAAAGGAAUUGACGGAAGGGCACCACCAGGUGUGGAGCCUGCGGCUUAAUUUGACUCAACACGGGGAAACUCACCAGGUCCAGACACGACAAGGAUUGACAGAUUGAUAGCUCUUUCUUGAUU